GACGAACGCUGGCGGCGUGCUUAACACAUGCAAGUCGAACGGAAAGGCCCUGCUUUUGUGGGGUGCUCGAGUGGCGAACGGGUGAGUAACACGUGAGUAACCUGCCCUUGACUUUGGGAUAACUUCAGGAAACUGGGGCUAAUACCGGAUAGGAGCUCCUGCUGCAUGGUGGGGGUUGGAAAGUUUCGGCGGUUGGGGAUGGACUCGCGGCUUAUCAGCUUGUUGGUGGGGUAGUGGCUUACCAAGGCUUUGACGGGUAGCCGGCCUGAGAGGGUGACCGGGCACCAUGGGACUGCGGGAGGGACCAGAAUGCUACGGGAGGCAGCAGUGGGGAAUAUUGCACAAUGGGCGGAAGCCUGAUGCAGCAACGCCGCGUGCGGGAUGACGGCCUUCGGGUUGUAAACCGCUUUCGCCUGUGACGAAGCGUGAGUGACGGUAAUGGGUAAAGAAGCACCGGCUAACUACGUG
rnacentral:rRNA from 1 species